CAGCCAGCCACGCCGCCAGCAAAGGCAGCCGGGUGGACGACGUGAUGCUGGACUGUUGGAGUCUGGAGCCGGCCGAGCGGCCCUCGUUCGGCCGCCUGAUGCAGCGGCUGGACGUGGUGCUGGCGGCGCUGGCGUCCAUGGAGUACGUGGCCAUGGCCUCGCCCCAGCCGCACGUCAAGUACGCGAACGCGGUGGUGCCGUGUGCGUCGCCCUCCGCGUCGGCCUUGCCCUCGCCGCCGGACAGCUCAGACUGAGGGCGUCGACCGGGGGAUCAGCGAGUCUGCAGGGACCUGGACUCGUGCCCUAUGACGUCAGCGGACUUCCGUGACGUCCGUGUCAAAGAAGUGCUCAGGUUUGUUUUUAACAGUGUUCCUCACCGGACUUCCAGUGUUCCUCGCCGGGCUUUUAGUUGAUCCUGAUCCGGGCUUUUAGUUGACAGUGCGGCGCCUCGCUAGGACAGUGCGGCGCCUCGUUAGGACAGUGCGGCGCCUCGCUAGGACAGUGUGGUGUCUCGCUAGGACAGUGCGGCGCCUCGCUAGGACAGUGUGGUGUCUCGCUAGGACAGUGCGGCGCCUCACUAGGACAGUGUGACGCCUCGUUAGGACAGUGCGGCGCCUCGUUGGGAAGGACUGCGGUGUGGUAUUUCUGCUUGGAUUGAACAGGAUGCAGCGUGGGUUGGCCUAAGCCGCUCAACUCAUGUUUAAGGUCGUGGUUUUUCUUUGUUUGUUUUUACAAGCGGUCCGCACUGGUGUUUGAGUUCCUCUUGGUAUGGGUGUUGGAGAUCUCCGGUGUGGUGCCUCGCGAGGGUCGUCUCCCGAGGCCUGGGGUGUAGUGUUCCUGCUUUGAUUUAACGGAUUAGCGGAUAGUGCAGGUUGGCGGAAUAGCUCGUCUUUCAUGUGAGGUAGUGCUUGUAUAGUCCACACCCCUUCGAAGUUUGUGAGCGCAUUUUCAUUGUACGGGUACAUGUGACGUACCAAGCAAAGCCUCUCGAAGCUUGUGAGUGCGCUCCUAUUGUACGGGUACAUGUGACAAUGCGAAGCCAGAGCAUGGUUAAGGUAGCCCAUUAAGAAAACAUUUUUAUUUGAAGUGUUUUCGUUACGAUUGUUUUGCGUAACGAAGUCAAGCUUGUCAAGCAAAAUGUUUGGUUUGCUACAAGGUCAUGACCUAGAUGGUAUCUGGAACAGUUUUAGUGGCGUAGUUGCUUUGACGGGUUUCAUUGCAGUACAGACUCCUUGCGUUACGAUCAUAUCAAGGACCGGGUAUUUGUGGUGCAGCUGUGAUGUUUCUGCUGUGAUUUUUGCCGGCGCCUAAGUGCUUGGACUGCGGCGUACCUUGUGAUUGAGGCGACUACGUAGUGAAUGUGCAUGCAUUCACCUUCGCGUCAUUUGAAUAUACAGUGAGCCAUUA